AAAAUCUUAAAUGUUUCAUGUUUGUGAAACUUUUAGUUUACUUGUUUGCCAUGUGUUGUGAAUUUCAGUACUCACACAUGUAUCAGAAGCGUGAGCUGGCACCGGUCCGACUCCAAUAAACUGACACCAAACCAUUUCUCUGGACACAUUAUGGUCAUAAUGGCUGAAUAAGAAAUGUGAGAUUAAAUGUUCAAGACAAAUUGUAUUAUUUGUAUUAUUUACAAAUCAGAAAACUUGUGCAUUUUGAUGAACACAGCAAAAAUGAUUAUUUCUAGCCAAUUUCAAAUGCAUAACUUGGCACUGUUGAUUUGUACGUGUUCAUAUUUUUUUUCUUGGUAUUUGUGUUUUUAAUAUUUAUAUACAAGUACUGCUUAGCUGUUAUUUUAGUUUUUAAUCAUCAGUUUCGAUGCCUGUGAAUUGCUUCCUGAACAUCAUUCACGUUAACUUGAACAAAAUCUACAUUCUGUGCCUCAGAGGAAGCUCGAGAAUCUUGUGGUGAGGAGUGUCACGCUAACCUCAUGUUUCUGAAACAGUCUGUAUAGUCUGAAUCUUUCUGUGGUUUGUAGUGUUUU